rnacentral:sRNA from 1 species
AGUUCGAGACCAGCCUGGCCAACAUGGUGAAAUCCCAUCUCUACUAAAAAUACAAAAAUUAGCCAGGCACGGUGUUGAUUUCCUGGCUCCAGCCUCAGGAGAGUUAUGGGAUCGACUUCGCCUGACCUGCUCCCAACCCUUCACGCGUCAUCAGUCCUUUGGCCUGGCCUUUCUACGGGUGCGUUCUUCUCUGGACUCCUUAGAUGACUCUGUGGUGGGUCCCUCAGCCCUUGUGAGCUCUGUGCUGAACAAGGCUGUAGAUGAAGGGGUUCAGCAUGGGGGUGACCACCGUGUACAUCACUGAGGCCACUGCACCCUUUCUCGGGGAAGAUGACACAUCUGAACCGAGGUACCCUCCAACGCCUGUUCCAUAAAAUCAGCAAACAACUGACAGGUGAGACCCACAAGUGGUGAAGGUUUAUACUUCCCACCUGAUGAUGAAACCCUCAGAAUGGAGGAAACAAUUUUACAGUAAGAGAAAAGGGUCCCCGAGAUGGGAAGAAAACCAAAUAUGGCAGCAAGAAAAUACAUGUUGAUGUUCCUAGUGAAGGUGUCACAACAUGCAAGAUGGGGGAGUUGAGAAGGUUCCCGGAAGAAAUUAGGAAUUUCCACAUCCUUGAAGCAGGUCAUUUGUAAGGCAAUCAAGUUGUGCAGCUGGGAGUCUAAAAGACUGAGAGAA